UACGUAGGGGGCUAGCGUUGUCCGGAUUUAUUGGGCGUAAAGAGCGUGUAGGCGGCCAGAUAGGUCUGCUGUGAAAACUCGAGGCUCAACCUCGAGCUGUCGGCGGAAACCAUUUGGCUAGAGUCCGGAAGAGGAAAGUGGAAUUCCUGGUGUAGCGGUGAAAUGCGCAGAUAUCAGGAAGAACACCCGUGGCGAAAGCGGCUCUCUGGAACGGUACUGACGCUGAGACGCGAAAGCGUGGGGAGCGAACAGG
rnacentral:rRNA from 1 species